ACGUGAUGUAGCACGGAGCACGGUUAGUAAAGCCGUAAUGAAAACACCGACGGAUUAAACAGCUGAUUUACGAGCCAAAUGAAAAUGAAGCCUUGGAGAUCAGACGGCGCUUUGAGGAAACGCAUGAUAUCGCUCAAAUAACUGACGGGACACAUGCAGAUUUUGGAGCAUCAGUUGCAAAAUGGCUGGAGAAGCCCAAGAUUCCAAUGUUUUGUGCCAUUCAGACCUUUGAGAGCUCAUCAACUGCCAAAGGGUGUGAAAAACACUGACGGACUGAGCGAGAAGACUACACAUCAUUACGAAUACAAAUCAGUGGUGACCCUGCAGAUCCACUCCUUGACUGGUUGCUGAAAGGCUUCAUAAAUUCUACACAUAUGACCCCAGAGGAGAAAUCUGUUAAUGUGAACUCAGCUCACUCUGUGUGACAGUAGAAAACACUUUAAGGAUUUUGAAAUUGAGGUGAAGGGUGCUACUGAAGAGAUUUUCACUUCACCUUUACACCAGUUGUGAUAACCUGCUUUGCACAUCAUAAUUUGUCAAAAUGAGAGGAACAAGGCAAGCAACAACUGGUUGGAGAACGCUGGUCACUUUGAUGGCAUCUUUCCUCAGGCUGGACCACAAGUCCGGAUGCAGAGCUGUUCCGGCGGGAGCAGGACAAC